GACGUAGGGCGCGAGCGUUGUCCGGAUUUAUUGGGCGUAAAGAGCUCGUAGGCGGCUUGUCGCGUCGACUGUGAAAUCCCGAGGCUCAACUUCGGGCUUGCAGUCGAUACGGGCAGGCUAGAGUUCGGUAGGGGAGACUGGAAUUCCUGGUGUAGCGGUGAAAUGCGCAGAUAUCAGGAGGAACACCGAUGGCGAAAGCGGCGCACUGGACCACACUGACGCUGAGGCGCGAAAGCGUGGGGAGCGAACAGG
rnacentral:rRNA from 1 species